CCUACGGGAGGCAGCAGUCGAGAAUCAUUCUCAAUGGGGGAAAGCCUGAUCGUGCGACGUCGCGUGGAGGAAUGAAGGCCUUCGGAUUGUAAACUCCUGUCAUGUGGGAGUAAAAUAUAAAGAUAGUACCAUAAGAGGAAGAGACGGCUAACUCUGUGCCAGCAGCUGCGGUAAUACAGAGGUCGCAAGCGUUAUUCGGCAUGACUGGGCGUAAUGCGUGCGUAGGCUGUUUCGGAAGUCGGGUGUGAAAGGCGCGGGCUCAACCCGCGGACUGCACAUGAUACUGGGAGACUAGAGUAAUGUAGAGGUGACCGGAAUUCGCGGUGUAGCAGUGAAAUGCGUAGAUAUCGAGAAGAACACUCGUGGCGAAGGCGGGUUCCUGGACAUUAACUGACGCUGAGGCACGAAGGCCAGGGGAGCGAAAGGGAUUAGAUACCCUAGUAGUC
rnacentral:rRNA from 1 species